rnacentral:rRNA from 1 species
CCUACGGGAGGCAGCAGUGGGGAAUAUUGCACAAUGGGGGAAACCCUGAUGCAGCGACGCCGCGUGAGCGAUGAAGUAUUUCGGUAUGUAAAGCUCUAUCAGCAGGGAAGAAAAUGACGGUACCUGACUAAGAAGCCCCGGCUAACUACGUGCCAGCAGCCGCGGUAAUAGGUAGGGGGCAAGCGUUAUCCGGAUUUACUGGGGGAAAAGGGAGCGUAGACGGUCCUGCAAGCCGGAUGUAAAAGCCAGGGGCUCAACCCCGGGACUGCAUUUGGAACUGUAAGGCUAGAGUGUCGGCGGGGCAGGCGGAAUUCCUAGUGUAGCGGUGAAAGGCGUAGAUAUUAGGAGGAACACCAGUGGCGAAGGCGGCCUGCUGGACGAUGACUGACGUUGAGGCUCGAAAGCGUGGGGAGCAAACAGGAUUAGAUACCCUGUAGUC